GUAAAAAUACAUUUAAAAUAAGUGUUUCAAUGUUGUUAUUGUAUUUACUUUUUUAAAGAAAUAAUGAGUCUAAUACAAUAACAUAUGACUGAAUUUUAUGGAAACAAAAAAUAUAUCUGUCAAAUUUGGAACAAUUUCGAGCUGUAUUACAGAGUAUACGUUUUAAUUAACUCUUAAAUAAACUUCUAUCUAUAUUAUGCUAACACCUUAAUAAAUGCAUUCGGAGGUUAUUGUGAACGAAUAAACAACAAAGAUAAAGUGGGGAAAAAGAUUCAAAUGAUUCGCUGAGGAAUUUAUCAGCAAAUUUCUAAAGACGCUAUAAUUGGAACUUAUUUGGAUAAUGACGCACAAAAUCGUCAAGAGCCGAGAGAUUACAACGCAUUGAUGAUUGGAACUACUCAGUGAAAUUUUUUAUAUUUAUACACGUCAAAAUUUAAACCCUUAGAAAUGACUUAAAUCAAACUUUUUUCCAGGGAUAAAUAAAAUAAUAAUAAUAAUAAUAAUAAACUUUAUUAGCAUAAAGGAAAGUGUCCCUGUUGCAGGGGGUUGUACAAAAAGGUAUUAUUUGUACGAAAAAUCCAUUUAAAAAAUAAUAAAAAUGCCGAAUCUAUAAAUGGAAUUUAACAUAAAAAUAAAAUAAUAAAUUUUUUAAACGAAACUUGUGUAAAAUAUUUCUUCCAUAGUGAAAAUAUUGUGACAUUAUCUGAAUUGCUGUAAUAUUAUUAUUAUAUUUUAAAUUUAAAUAUCAUAUAUAAGAAAUUAAAUAUGGCACCAGAACAAAAGAUCCACAUUUUGUUUGAAAUUUGAAAUGUGAAUCUUCUGUUAUGGAUUUUAAAGUUAGUUUCUCUUUAAAAAGAAUGAGAUCAAAUAUAUUAAAGGUUAUUUUUAAAAUUAAAUGUAACAUUGUAAGAAAUUGUUUUCAAUACAUUUCAAUUAUUUACUUUAUAAAAUAUCUCAAUUUUAUACAUUUGAUUAGGAAUUAUAUUUCUAAAGAUUUCGAUUGUCAAUUAUUCCCUUCCAACAGAAGUUCAUUUAAGAAUUUAUCAA